AUGAAUGCUUCCCUCUGUUCUCCCUUCACUGAAAAUGAAAUCUUUGAAGCUUUGCAAAAUACCGGGAACCUAAAAGCUCCAGGCCCAGACGGGAUGCCAGCAAUUUUUUACAAGAGAUUCUGGGAUUUGGUUGGUGAGAGGGUCAGAUGUGAGGUACUCGCAGUUCUAAAUGGAGGCCCAAUCCCAGAGGAAUGGAACAGAACUACAGUUGUGCUAAUUCCAAAGAGUAAAAAUCCAGAAAGGAUUAAGGAUUUCAGACCAAUCAGUCUCUGCAAUGUGCUAUACAAAAUUAUUUCCAAGGUUCUUACUAGUAGAAUGAAAGUCUUUAUUGGAGACAUUAUCUCGCAAAAUCAAAGUGCAUUCAUUCCAGGUCGUUUGAUCAUCGACAAUGUCCUGGUUGCUUACGAGAUGUCUCACUAUAUAAGAAACAAAAGGAAUUGA
rnacentral:rRNA from 1 species